UCGAGAGGGAGGCCAGCGGGCACUACGCAGCAGCCACAUCAGACUGGGACAAUUCCUGCUUGCAGAGGACUGUAAAACCCCUACCCCGUCCUCACUUGGGGCUGACGCUAUUGCCAAGCAAAUUGAGACCAUCAAGCUACAGAUGGUCUUACAAAUGGAACUCCAAAUGAGCUCAACUAAACUUCUACCGAGGACCCCUGGACCAACCUCCUGGCCCUUUCACUGGCCUAAAGAGUUCCCCUCUGGAGGACACUACAACUGCAGGGCCCCUUCUUCGCCCCUAUCCAGCAGGAAGUAGCUACAGCAGUCAUUGGCCAAAUUCCCAUCAGCAGUUGGGGUGUCCUGUUUAGAGGGGGCGGGAUUGAGAGGUGAAGCCGGCUGUGCUUCUGGGUCGGGUGGGGACUUGGAGAACUACUCUGUCUAAAGGAUUGUAAAUGCACCAAUCAGGGCUCUGUGUCUAGCUAAAGGUUUGUAAACACACCAAUCAGUGCUCUGUGUCUAGCUAAUCGGGUAGGGGACUUGGAGAACUUUUCAGUCUAGCUAAAGGAUUAUAAAUGCACCAAUCAGUGCUCUGUGUCUAGCUAACUGGGUAGGGGACUUGGAGAACUUUUCUGUCUAGCUAAAGGAUUGUAAAUGCACCAAUCAGCACUCUGUGUCUAGCUAAAGGUUUGUAAACACACCAAUCAGCACUCUGUAAAAACCGACCAAUUAGCACUCUGUAAAACAGAGCAAUCAACACUCUGUAAAAUGGACUAAUCAGCUGUCUGUAAAAUGGACCAAUCAGCAGGAUGUGGGUGGGGCCAAAUAAGGGAAUAAAAGCACGCCACCGGAGCCAGCAGCUGCAACCUGCUCGGGUCCCCUUCCAUGCUGUGGAAGCUUUGCUCUUUCAUUCUUCGCAAUAAAUCUUGCUGCUGCUCACUCUUUGGGUCUGCACUACCUUUAUGAGCUGUAACACUGACUGUGAAGGUCUGCGGCUUCACUCCUGAAGUCAGUGAGACCACAAACCUACUGGGAGGAACAAACAACUCUGGACACGCCACCUUUAAGAGCUGUAACACUCACUGCGAGGGUCUGCAGCUUGACUCCUGAAGUUAGUGAGCCCAUGAACCCACUGGGAGGAAAAAACAACUCCAGACGUCCCACCUUUAAGAGCUGUAACACUCACUGCAAAGGUCUGCGGCUUCAUCCCUAAAGUCAGCAAGACCACGAACCCACCAGAAGGAAGAAACUCUGGACACAUCUGAACAUCAGAAGGAACAAACUCUCAACAUACCAUCUUUAAGAACUGUAACACUCACCGCGACAGUCCGUGGCUUCAUUCUUGAAGUCAGCGAGACCAAGAACCCACUGGAAGAAACCAAUUCCGGACACAUUUACGCAGCAGCCACGUCAGACUGGGACACUUCCUGCUUACAGAGGACUAUAAAACCCCUUCCUCACUUGGGGCUGAUGCUAUUAUAAAACCCAUCCCUCACUUGGGGCUGAUGCUAUUAUAAAACCCAUCCCUCACUUGGGGCUGACGCCAUUUAGGCGUAAACCCGUCUGCACCCAGGCGCUUAUUAAAACAGUGUGUUGCUCCACACCACCUCAUGUCGUGGGGGUUGUUGGCGCGUCAUCGGGGUUCAAACCAAUACCAGAGCCUUGCAGGUUGUUUGUAGCACUAACAAAGGACAAAUGCUUGAGAGGAUGGAUACCCUGCUUAUCCUGAUGUGAUUAUGCAUUCUAUGCCAUAUCAAAUAUCUCAUGUACCUAUAAAUACAUAUGCCUACUAUGUACCCACAAAAAUUAAAAAUAAAUUUUUUUGAGAUGGAGUCUCGCUCUGUCACCCAGUCUGGAGUGCAGUGGCGUGAUCUUGGCUCA